UACGUAGGUGGCAAGCGUUGUCCGGAUUUACUGGGCGUAAAGGGCGCGUAGGCGGCUUGGCAAGUGGAUGGUGAAAUCCCUCGGCUUAACCGAGGAACUGCCGUCCAAACUGCUUAGCUUGAGACCGGGAGAGGUGAGUGGAAUUCCCGGUGUAGCGGUGAAAUGCGCAGAUAUCGGGAGGAACACCAAUGGCGAAGGCAGCUCGCUGGGACGUUACUGACGCUGAGACGCGAAAGCGUGGGGAGCAAACAGG
rnacentral:rRNA from 1 species